GUGCUCACUUUGGCAGCGUGUAUACUAAAAUUGGAACAAUGGAGAGAAGAGUAGCAUGGUCCCCGCACAAGGAUGACACACAAAUUCAUGAAGCGUUCCGUAUUUUU